rnacentral:misc_RNA from 1 species
UCUUUAGUUCCUUCGUCCAAUUUAAAUCAAAAUUUCUAUUAGUCAAAGCAAUCAAAGGAAAGAGACAUUACAGUUCCAGGGACUAAAUAGUUCAAGGUUCAAAAAAAUAGGACUUUAUAGUUGUAUUUUUUAAGUUAUAAAAACUUAAUGAAAUUCAAACUAAUACUUAAAAUGACCGGAGGGACAAAACUUAAAUGGAACAAAAAAAAUAAGGAUUUACUAAUGUAUUUUUCAAAAUAGGAGUACUAAGAAAUUAAUUUCAUUAAAAUAUAGGACUAAAUAGGCAUUUUUCCAUUUCAAAUGCAUAAACAAGAAGUUUCCCAUAGGAAAGUACUGAACUAAACGUUUAAAAACAUCUAGUACUCAUCAUUCCAUGGAUCAUAUGGCAGAAUAAUGCUAAGCACAGUUGCACUGUUGCAGUAGGCAUGAAUGUGCAAAUAUGACUGUCCAUCGCCAUGGACCUCACGGUGAGACCAACGGCCAAGACACCUAGCAAAAUUUCAGCCUGCCCUAGUUUACUCCAGUUUCAUUUAUACUCUUAUGCAAAAUCAACCAUACACAACCUCCAAAAACUUUUGUGAGUUUUCUACCGUGCAAAGACGAUCAUCAGUGAAGAAUACAAAUAUCUGAUAAAGUUCAAUCAAGCAGAAUUACCUGAAAAAUGAAGAUUGUCAUGUUUCAACAAAAAUUGGGUAUAGGGUAUAACACUUGCAUUGGAAGCAGGGCAAUGUGGAGUUCUGGUAGAAAAGAUUCAGAUUAAUGUAAGAAGAGUUGGAGUUCAGAGCAGCAGAAAUGGAGUGGAGCCAAUUGAUGAUGGAUUAGAGGUAAAUUAUCCGGGCCAACGAAAUUAGGGGUAAUUAUUGCGACACAUAUCUAUUUGCAUUCUAGACAAACAAUGAAAAUUUCAAUGGUAUAGCUAGAGUUUGGACAGAGGUAUAAUGUGGGCAUGUGAUUGUGAAAUAAUAAAUAAUAAUAAUAUUAAUAAGUACAUUAAACAAAACUUGCCAGAAGAACAGCUAAAAGAAUGUCAAUAAAAAAGAAACAAAAACAAACACUAAGCUAAUAGAGAGAUUACAAUCAAAUGAAUAAUGCUGAAGAAAGAAAUCAUGGGAAAAAUGAAAAUUGGGAUAUGGUGGCAUACAUGUCAACUGAACGGCAGGGCAUUUCUGCAAAGGAUUGUCAAAGUCUACUUCAAUGAGAUGACCAACCUAGACUAUCAGGAAACCGAAGCACUUGAUUGUGCAAGAGUUUAAUAGUGCAGCCCAGAUGUCUCAAAACUGAUUCACCACUACUAAAUGUGGAAUUGAAUUGUAAUUGCUUAAAAAUUGACUGGAGAAUAAGAGCUUCGAUAACCUUCUGUUGGUCCUCUAAAUUUCCGCACCAGAGAUGCACAAUAACUCUGCAAGGAGAUUAAGAUAAUACAUUCCUAAGUUCAACAGAAUGUUAUCCUUUUCAGAUGUUUAUACCAAACAUGUCUAUCGUAGGUAAAUUUAGAUAGUAGUUUGAUUAUUGAAGUAGUUUCAGCAAAUUUAUUUACAGCGCACUCUAUUGGCUUCUCUCAUUCUACAGUCAAUAAAUCAGAAGUUGUAACUAGACUAAGAGUUUCAAAAUUUCUUACCAAUCUUUCAUUCAAAACUCCUUUCCUCCUAUGGAAAUUGCAGUUACCCAAAACCUAAAAUUUUUCCCUCUUUAAGUGCAUCACAAACAAUUACAUACUUCCUUUCUUCUUUUCAAUAGAGUGACCGAGUGAGGCAGCCGUACACUGCACAAUAUUUUAACUUAAGGAGCUUCAUGAAAAAGGUAUCUAUUUUUGAAAUGAAACCUUAAUGACCUUAACUUCUGUGAGAGUUUAUCAUUUCAAAUUCAACUAUUUGAUCAAUAGAAAUUAGAUAUGGCUUAAUAAAUAGUUUUAAUCCCCUCAAAUAAUGCCAUAUGUGCAGUCAACGAAUCUUUGCAUGGCAUGUUCACACCGCAGAACCAAAAGAGGAAAAAUUUGCAGUGAAAGCAAAUACAUAAUAUAAUUACCUGUGUUCUCUGAGGCAAUCUGACCCAAAAAUCCAAGUUGGGAAUCAUCUGAUAAAAGAAGAAAACAGAAUCAGUUAAAACUUACAAGUUUGCAACUUACAACAGCAGUAAAAGCAUUGUCGUUAAAUUACAUAGCAAACCUGUUAACUUUCCGUGAAGAUAAACAUAUAACGCUACUCACACAUUUCUAAGCUGUUUGAGUUUGGUCAUAUAAUAAUAUAAGAAAAAGAAGUAUAAUGACCGAGACACAUGCAUUGUUUUAAAUACAUGUCUAACUUCGUGUUUCCAAAUAGUGGAAAUUGGUCUAUGCAAUGACACCUAAUUGAGAAACAAGAGCAUCAGGUAACACAUUCAGAUUUAUUUGUUCCUUCCGGUCAGAAAGCAAACUGAUCAAGCAGCCUUAUUAUAGAGCUUUGCAACUUUUCUAUUGCUUCUCUGCCCAUUCUAAAGAUCAAGUUUAGGACAUUGUCGCUACAUCAAAAUGGCUAUUCAUGCUAGAAGCCACUGAAAUGCUAAAGCCACCAUUUACUCUUUUUCAGUGCUGCAGGCCUCAAUGUUUAGUUGAGCACAGAAUAUGAAAAUAUUCUACAUGCUUCAAAUAAUCUCUCAUUUGAAUUUCCAAAAUACAUGAGAAGCAUGAUCACCACUAAACACAUAUUCCGUUUCCUCACAUUACAAAUAAUAUUUUAAGAAGUCUUGACCGAUUUCUUUAUGCAUAUAUUAACAUAUGUGAACAACGUGGCUCCAUAAUGCAAAGAUGAUAUGUAAUAUAAUUCCAUUAUUAAGCUUGAUUUUGGAUAAGAUCAUGUAUCGUUGUUAGUUAAAAUAGUUCAAACAAUCAGGAAAACAAAUAGAGAUGAAGCAUACAUCUAAACCACGAACUCCAAGGAAGAAAUAUCGAUAGGCUGCACCCACCAACAUAUACCCACCAAAAAGGCAUAAGAUACUGAAAAAUAAAACCAUAAGUCAAACAAGAUGACUUCAAGUCUAUGAUAGUUUAACCAGACCAAUACUAUUCACGAAGAAAAAAAGAAUUGAAAUCCUUACAUGAUUACUAAGGUACCAAACCAGCCCCAUCCUUUCCCAUGAACAGAUACAACUAUGGCACAACCUGAAGGAUGUUGUAGUACUGCUGCAUAAUCACAGGUCCCUAAUUUCUCCAGUGAAUGUGGCCCUUGAACACCAUUUGAAUUGCAAAUGACAGAGACAGAGAGUGAACAAUUCUCAGAGCCAGCAGACGUCUUAACAGUAUUUGACAUCUUAACAAUUACACCUUUGUGUGGAUUCUGUUUAUCAAAGAUGCUAGUAACAGUGCUUGAGACAUGCCCAAUAGUAGUGCAUACAUCAUAACCUCCUAUGUUGUUUGUCACAAGUGCACUACAUUCCAUGCCACA